UACGUAGGGGGCAAGCGUUGUCCGGAUUUAUUGGGCGUAAAGAGCGUGUAGGCGGCCAGACAGGUCAGCUGUGAAAACUCGAGGCUCAACCUCGAGACGUCGGUUGAAACGGUCUGGCUAGAGUCCGGAAGAGGAGAGUGGAAUUCCCGGUGUAGCGGUGAAAUGCGCAGAUAUCGGGAAGAACACCGGUGGCGAAGGCGGCUCUCUGGGACGGUACUGACGCUGAGACGCGAAAGCGUGGGGAGCGAACAGG
rnacentral:rRNA from 1 species